rnacentral:rRNA from 1 species
GUUGAACGCUGGCGGCAGGCCUAACACAUGCAAGUCGAGCGGAUGAAGGGAGCUUGCUCCUGGAUUCAGCGGCGGACGGGGGAGUAAUACCUAGGAAUCUGCCUGGUAGUAGGGGAGAACGUCCGGAGAAGGGCGGUAAUACCGCAUACGUGCUGAGGGAGAAAGUGGGGGGUGUUCGGACCUCACGCUAUCAGAGGAACCUAGGUCGGAGUAGCUAGCUUGUUGGGUAAAGGCCUACUUAGGCGACGAUUCGUGACUGGUCUGAGAGGAUGAUCACUCACACUGGAACUGAGACACGGUCAAGGCUCCUACGGGAGGCAGCAGUGGCGAAUAUUGGACAAUAGGCGGAAGCCUGAUCCAGCCAUGCCGCGUGUGAUAAGAAAGUCUUCGGAUUGUGAAGCACUCUUAGUUGGGAGGAACGGCAGUAAGUUAAUACCUUGCUGUUUUGACGUUACCAGCAGAAUAAGCACCGGCUAACUUCGUG